GAAAUGCGAUAAGUAUUGUGAAUUGCAGAAUUCAGUGAAUCAUCGAAUCUUUGAACGCACAUUGCGCCCUUUGGUAUUCCAAAGGGCAUGCCUGUUCGAGCGUCAUUUGUACCCUCAAGCUUUGCUUGGUGUUGGGCGUCUUGUCUCCAGUUCGCUGGAGACUCGCCUUAAAGUAAUUGGCAGCCGGCCUACUGGUUUCGGAGCGCAGCACAAGUCGCGCUCUCUUCCAGCCAAGGUCAGCAUCCACAAAGCCUUUUUUCAACUUUUGACCUCGGAUCAGGUAGGGAUACCCGCUGAACUUAAGC
rnacentral:misc_RNA from 1 species